UAGAGAUGAGCAAUAUAUACCACCGGAUAUGCCUACUCAAAUGCUUGUAAGAGGCAUGGCUCUGGGUGAGAGUGUUUCUGACACUGUAACAGUUUUGUGGAUUAGAAGGUAUAGUGAUGUUGACUGGGUUUUCUUAAAUAUGCUAGGCACAGUUGUAAAAGAGGGAUGAAUACAAGGCUUCAAAUGCUCAACUUAAGCACUACAUGAAGGAGGUGAAAAUUUCUACGUGUGCUCUGAAAGAAGGUCUUAUUCCUUGUAGCUGCAGACUUGAGAUUUCUGAAAACCAGACCAAGGGUCCCAUGUGAGUGGCUGAAUUACAACAUAAACUAAAUUUCCAACCUUGCAGAGUGUCUGUAUUAAAGUGAGGCCUUGAUUGGAAAGGAAUGGAAUCCUGAAAAUUCGAAUGGGGCAUAUGGGUUGAUAAUGUUGGUAGUGGGGACAUUGAAACCCUAGAUUCUGCUGGGUCUUUGCCAGAUAAACCUGUAAUGGUCUGCCCUGAGGAAUCAGCUACUUGACCUCCAGUGUACCUGAGGAACAAGCCUCCUGACCUCUGUCUGCCCUGAGGCAGCUGCCAUCCAACCUGCUGAACCUGGUAAACCUGUAACCACCUCCCCUGAGCAAACAGUCCUCACUCUUCUAUCUGAAGAGGUUAAUCCAGUUUCACUAGAUGAAACUGCAAUGGAAUACCCUGAGGUAAUUGGCUUGCAAGACCCUUCUAAUUCAUCUCAUGACCCACCCUCACAACUCUUUUCUUCCAGUCCUACAAACUAGACUGAAGACCCGACAGGCUCCAAAAGGUGAAGUGCAAAGUAUGACCCAUGAGGAGACCUCAAGAUGAUCCACUGAGAAAGCAGCUGGGCUUUUAAAAAGUGUUACUCUGGAAAAUGGAGCAUUCUAAGACUGCCUUAGCAAGUUAGGUAAGAAUUUGAUUUGCUGGGUAGCUGGCUAGGAAACAGAUUAGAAAUGGUGAAAGAUGAAAAUUAGGUGAGGAAAUAUAGUACAGUGGAAAAAAUUAACACAAGUUUACUAUCUGAUUCUUGAAAUAUUUUCCAGUUAAAAAAAAAAAAAACUAUCAUUAGGGGAGAAGGGAAGGGAAACAAAUUGAAGUAAGUGAAGCUUACGUGGGCUCCAGCCCCUUCCUUGACUUAGGGCUAAUUUGCUGAAAGCUGGGGAGAUCCUGUUUCCGCCAACACUUCCCUUGUUUCAGAAGGCAUCAUGGAACCUCAUGAGGAUGAGUCUCUGAUGCCAGGUAGUAGCUUACUUCUUCCUGAUUUUAACUUUGACCUGACCCCUUUGGGUUUUCAGCUCCGUGGGUAUGAUUCCUUGACCUCAACAAUAAAGUACUCCCUCAUGGACUCCCCCCUUCCCCUGUGUCUACUUGUCUUUUCUCUAUUUUCUUUCCCACUUCUGGACACCUGCUGAACCAUCCUGGUGCUCAGCUGGGUCCAGUGUACCCUGGUGGGAGGCACCACCCUGGAUCCAGGGAAUGGAGAGUUCUGCCCCUUUGUAUAAGGAUCCCAGUUUAGACCGACAGCAGCAGAAGCGUUUCAGAGAUUUGGACUCCCUUCGAGGUCGGCAGGAUGCGCUCCAGGCCCAGGUACAGAUAUGUGAGCAGAAGAUCGCAGCUGUGCUGGCUCAGGAACAGGAGCUUGAGGAACAAAAUGAGAUGCUGAGGUGUGACCUGGGCAAAGCCUGGCAAGAGGUAGAGUGCCAGGUCUUAGCUUCAGUUGGCAUGGGAGGAUGGCAUGCCUCCUUUGAUUUUUCCUCCACACUUGCAUGUGGAAACCAGAGCCCCAUCCCCCACCCCUCUUCCCACACACACAUACAUUUAGGAUCUGAUUUUAUUUCCCCUUCCUGGUGUCUCUGGGAAUCCUGUGUGUACCUUUCCUGUUUAAUGGUUCCUCUACCCUGUCAGGUGAAGCAAUUCCAAGAGGUACUUAUCAAUCAGAAGGUACAGUAUGACUAUGAGCUGAAGAAGAAGGAGAAGGAGUUGGGGAAACUCAAAGAGCAAAUGCAGCAGAUGCAGGGGGAGCAGUGGAAUCGCCAAGGAAAGAUUGACAUUCUCAACAACCUGAAGAGGUCAGAUGGAAAACACACCAUGUGGAAAACUGGCAAAGCUAAUGGCAAGAAAGAGGGAGAGUUGAUCCAAACAGUGGUGAGAAACCUUGAGGACCAAGUGGCAGCAGUUUCCAGGGAAAAUGAAGAACUCAAGCAGUUGUUGACCAGGCUAGGCAGGGAUUUGGCUGAAUUCCUGGGCUGCCCUUGGGAUGGUCCUACUGAAGCCAAGGUGGCCAUAACUGUGGAUUGUGGUGCCUUGUGGAAACACUGGAGUUGCUUCAAGAAGGAAGUAGAGGUACUGAAGAAACAAGGCCAACCUGCAGAAGAGCUCCAGGAUAGAAACCCCGUAAUCAGCAUCACAGAUCAUGACAAGGAACUGGUCCAUCUGCGACAGGAGAUUCAGUGGAGUUUGGACUUUAUCACUUGGCAACAGCAUUGCUUCCAGGAGCAGCUUAGCUCUGGCCAGGAGCUGCCAGUCCACCUCCAGGGCUCCUGUUUCCUGGAGGAAGAGCAGAGGCUGCAGGAGGCCCAGAUCCUCUUUGCCCAGGAACGAGCACACUUCGAGGCAGAGAGGCACCGUUUUACUGAAGCUGCCAUCCGUCUGGGACAUGAGCGCUGGCACUUUGAGCUGGAGCGGGUUCUCUUCUGGAAAAAGCAGCUACUAGGAUUUUCUCUCCAUGAUUCUUCUCAGUCAAAGACCCCAAAGUCCUGCUUUGAUGCCCCAGAGCCCCAAACUUUAGAAAGGGAACUUGGUACUUGCUGUCCUGUUUCCUGUUCUUUCUUUGGACUCAGCCAAAGUUCAAGUGACUGCCCUUGUGUUCCAGAGUGUUAUACCUCUGUUGGGGUCUCCUCACUUCCUUGUCUUCAGGGAAAAAGAGUACACUGGUCCUGCUGUGGACCCAAAGGAAAUCAUUCCAACUUGCCACCUGAUUUGCUGGACAGUCCUUCCCUGCUUUCUCCUCUGGUACUUCAGAGUGGGGAGUUUUGCUGUGUUGACUAUGUUCUUGGCCUACUCUUCAUCCUGAUUCUUUCUCUCCUUGGAGUUGUCAAAGGGGGUUUACCAUUCAGAUGCUCUUGCAUGAGAUUUGGAAGACAGAAGUGAAGUGGAGGCCAUGCUUUUCUUCUUCUUUUUCUGCUGGCAAGCUCCGUCCUGGUGUACACAAUUAUUUUAUGGUGGUGUAUUGAUCAUGGAGUGGUAGCUUCCAACAUUUACAGGGGAGAAUUUGGAUGUCUGCUACCAUGCCACCAUCUUUUCUGGAAGUGUUUAAUGAUAUAUUUUCAGGGAUCCCCUGCACUCCCACGUCCCGCAUGAACGAGCCCAACCGUGUGUGUGACCAGUCAUCACGCUGCCUUGGAGGCAUCCUCCCACCUCCACUCCCCGAAUUAAAUCAGUCAACUGCAAAACCAGUGCUU